UACGUAGGUGGCAAGCGUUGUCCGGAUUUACUGGGCGUAAAGAGCGCGCAGGCGGUCGUUCAAGUCGCGUGUGAAAGCCCCCGGCUCAACUGGGGAGGGUCACGCGAUACUGAUCGACUCGAAGGCAGGAGAGGGAAGUGGAAUUCCCGGUGUAGUGGUGAAAUGCGUAGAUAUCGGGAGGAACACCAGUGGCGAAGGCGACUUCCUGGCCUGUUCUUGACGCUGAGGCGCGAGAGCUAGGGGAGCAAACGGG
rnacentral:rRNA from 1 species